UACGUAGGGACCAAGCGUUGUUCGGAUUUACUGGGCGUAAAGGGCGCGUAGGCGGCGUGACAAGUCACUUGUGAAAUCUCUGGGCUUAACUCAGAACGGCCAAGUGAUACUGUCGUGCUAGAGUGCGGAAGGGGCAAUCGGAAUUCUUGGUGUAGCGGUGAAAUGCGUAGAUAUCAAGAGGAACACCUGAGGUGAAGACGGGUUGCUGGGCCGACACUGACGCUGAGGCGCGAAAGCCAGGGGAGCAAACGGG
rnacentral:rRNA from 1 species